CACGUAGGGUCCGAGCGUUGUCCGGAAUUACUGGGGCGUAAAGCGUGCGCAGGCGGUUGGGUCAGUCGCUGGUGAAAGCCCCACGCUCAACGUGGGAAUGGCCAACGAGACGGCCCGACUGGAGGCAGGGAGAGGCCGGUGGAAUUCCGGGUGUAGUGGUGAAAUGCGUAGAGAUCCGGAGGAACACCGAUGGCGAAGGCAGGUCUCUGGGCCACUACUGACGCUGAGAAGCGAAAGCAUGGGGAGCGAACGAGG
rnacentral:rRNA from 1 species